AUUGAACGCUGGCGGCAUGCUUUACACAUGCAAGUCGAACGGUAACAGGCCGCAAGGUGCUGACGAGUGGCGAACGGGUGAGUAAUGUAUCGGAACGUGCCCAGUCGUGGGGGAUAACGCAGCGAAAGCUGUGCUAAUACCGCAUACGAGCUAUGGAUGAAAGCGGGGGACCGUAAGGCCUCGCGCGAUUGGAGCGGCCGAUAUCAGAUUAGGUAGUUGGUGGGGUAAAGGCUCACCAAGCCGACGAUCUGUAGCUGGUCUGAGAGGACGACCAGCCACACUGGGACUGAGACACGGCCCAGACUCCUACGGGAGGCAGCAGUGGGGAAGUUUGGACAAUGGGCGCAAGCCUGAUCCAGCAAUGCCGCGUGCAGGACGAAGGCCUUCGGGUUGUAAACUGCUUUUGUACGGAGCGAAACGGCUCUCUCUAAUAAAGGGAGCUAAUGACGGUACCGUAAGAAUAAGCACCGGCUAACUACGUGCCAGCAGCCGCCGUAA
rnacentral:rRNA from 1 species